UUGAACCACAUCUACAAACUUAUUUUGGUGAUUUAGCCCACAAGUUACUUGAACUGGCAUGUCCAUUGUUUUUACAAUGAAUUAAAUGGCUUUUUUUUUUUUACUGCGUUUGGCACAGUAUUCAAUCCUACACGUUAUUGUACUACAGUACAGUAGGUGGCGGUAUACUGUAGUGUGCUGUUUAUGUCCGCAUCGUCAUACGCGCCAGCACCGCUGAAAGACUGUAGGAACAGAAACCCCUGGAAAGAUGAGUUCCCUAUUAAAGAGAGGCUUGAUGCUGUUUACUCCACACUCUUAGGCUGAUUUUGGAUUAUUUGUCUGUGAAGACACAGUAGUUCAGUUUCUGAAUCCCAUCAAAAAUGAAGACCUGCAGGCCACCAUAUUGAGCUGGUCUGAUGUCAUGAUAUGGCGCUUUUCCAAUGUAGGGUACAACUUGGCUCGGCACGAUGCAGCUCAGCUCGCUUUCGUUGCUUUUCCAGUACAGUUUCGUAUCGCUUCAGAGUGGGUGAGAUUAUAGGCAGGGGUGCACAUAAGGGUGUGUAUGCGCGAUUAGAAACAAUUCCAGCGUACCAACGUUGCUGGAAUUUUGUUACAUAGUUAGCUAAUUUACUGCGACAUAAGGGAUUUCAUAACGUCUCGAUCACUCCCCAGUGACUGGUCCCAGUAUAGGUCAUAAACCCCGCCUCCCCCAUGUUAUUCAAUGGGACUUGAGACCUGUUAGAUACAAAAUAAACUUCAGUAUGUAAAACGUUUUCUUUUUAUUUAUCCACCGAUAACAUUCGCUCCAACACAAGCUCCAAAACAAGAGUCACCUUUUAGCUUCCGAAAAAGGUCAUGUGAAAUAAUAAACAAUAUUUAGCAUAAAGCUAUAAUAUACAUAAACACAUUUUUAAUGUCUUAAACUUAACAAGACCAACUAAACAAUUUAAUUACACUUCAAUUAUCUUUUUUCCGAAGCUGGUUUUUGUCAUUUACUGUCGUUUUUAUCACGCUGAUGUAAAUUCAAGUGUUUGUUUUUAAAAUAAGUUUGUUUUUAGUUAGUUAGUUAAUGCUAUAAAAACGGUGGUGUCACGUCAGGAUUGACAGCUGUGUAUGCACAUUCUGGGAGAGUGAGGGCGGGGCCUUGAUUUCGCGGCUUUACUUCCUGCUCACUACUGCGCAGGACUGGUCCCGAAAUUGCUACUGCGCAGACUCAAAACCCAAGAUGUCAGCGGCGACACUGGCGGCUUCACUUUUCACCAAUGAAAGCGAGCAAGCUCUCCAGCUGCUCCUUUUAUAACCAGGACAAAAAAGUUAUGUGCACCCCUGAUUAUAGGCUUAUUGUUACAGUUGCGUCCCCUCUACUGCCGGAACAUCAUCGUAAAUGCGAUACAAACACCCACACACACACACACACACACACACACACACACACACAUGGAGCAACAGAGCAUAUUAAUGGAAUGUAGCCACAAAAUCAAAUUGACAGCCACAACUACAUUUUCCACUACCUCUCUCACAUGACAGGUUCUGUACAAACACCCGUGUCAUCGGUACCUGCACUCCGCGGACAGAACAUUUAAGCCAUGACGCCUAUAUUUUUGGUGCAUUUUGGAUGCGGAGCCAUGCGCAAAGUUACAAAAAUGCCAUGCAGACAUAGGCAUGGUGGUGUGCUCUGCAUUUUUGUAACUUUGCACAUGACUUCACAUCCGAAACCUAUUAUUCCUCUGCCAAAAGUGAGCUGUGCUGAACUGGGUCAUACUAUGCAGUGGAAAAGCGCCAAAAGUGUUCUACUUCGUGGCUUGAAGGAUUUAGGUAAGCAAAUUUAUCUGACACAUCACAACCUAAAACUUUAUAAAAAAAGUUUAAAUUUUUUCUUGCAGUGUAAACACGGCAUUUUGAUCUUAAUAUUUAUUUAUAUUUAAUGAGAUAUGGAGAUUUUUAUCUUUCACAGAUGAAUACAUUUGAGUGAGCCGUUUUUAUGUCUAAACACCGCGGUCCACCAUACAUGAAAGUCACCAUCAUGUUUCUACAGUAGCCCAAAACAGACAAACUGUUCUACAGAGCGUGUUUCGUCUAUACGUUGUCUCAAGGGCUCAUUAUAGCAAACAUACAUACAGACCGCUGGUAAGCAGUUUCCACACGUGUAACCACAGAAGCAGCUUGGCCAGUUUAACUCACAAAUAAAGAAACAGCAGAUUGUUGUGUAUGUUUUGAGAAGACCAACAGCAGUGGCGGCCGGUGACUUCUUUUUUUGAGGGCGCUCGAUGCGAAGUUCGUCACAACAUGUAUGUAGCCCGUCAUGUGUGUGGUUUCUUUUUUCAAAAUAUGUGUUCUGCGCUUUGAGAGAUCCUGUGUGCAUCACGUGUCAUGUCAAAAUAAGUGCCUGCUGCAGAUGCGUCUAAAGGGUUUAU